ACUCCUACGGGAGGCAGCAGUAGGGAAUCUUCCACAAUGGGCGCAAGCCUGAUGGAGCAACACCGCGUGAGUGAAGAAGGGCUUCGGCUCGUAAAGCUCUGUUGUUAAAGAAGAACACGUAUGAGAGUAACUGUUCAUACGUUGACGGUAUUUAACCAGAAAGUCACGGCUAACUACGUGCCAGCAGCCGCGGUAAUACGUAGGUGGCAAGCGUUAUCCGGAUUUAUUGGGCGUAAAGAGAGUGCAGGCGGUUUUCUAAGUCUGAUGUGAAAGCCUUCGGCUUAACCGGAGAAGUGCAUCGGAAACUGGAUAACUUGAGUGCAGAAGAGGGUAGUGGAACUCCAUGUGUAGCGGUGGAAUGCGUAGAUAUAUGGAAGAACACCAGUGGCGAAGGCGGCUACCUGGUCUGCAACUGACGCUGAGACUCGAAAGCAUGGGUAGCGAACAGGAUUAGAUACCCU
rnacentral:rRNA from 1 species